GGUUAAGCGACUAAGCGUACACGGUGGAUGCCCUGGCAGUCAGAGGCGAUGAAGGACGUGCUAAUCUGCGAAAAGCGUCGGUAAGGUGAUAUGAACCGUUACAGCCGGCGAUGUCCGAAUGGGGAAACCCAGUGUGAUUCGUCACACUAUCGUUAACUGAAUACAUAGGUUAACGAGGCGAACCGGGGGAACUGAAACAUCUAAGUACCCCGAGGAAAAGAAAUCAACCGAGAUUCCCCCAGUAGCGGCGAGCGAACGGGGAGCAGCCCAGAGUCUGAAUCAGCUUGUGUGUUAGUGGAACGGUCUGGAAAGUCCGACGGUACAGGGUGAUAGUCCCGUACACCAAAAUGCACAGGUUGUGAACUCGAAGAGUAGGGCGGGACACGUGGUAUCCUGUCUGAAUAUGGGGGGACCAUCCUCCAAGGCUAAAUACUCCUGACUGACCGAUAGUGAACCAGUACCGUGAGGGAAAGGCGAAAAGAACCCCGGCGAGGGG
rnacentral:rRNA from 1 species